GAUGAACGCUGGCGGCGCGCCUAAUACAUGCAAGUCGAGCGAGAAGACGUAGCAAUACGUUUGUAAAGCGGCGAACGGGUGAGGAAUACAUGGGUAACCUACCCUCGAGUGGGGAAGUAACUAGCCGAAAGGUUAGCUAAUACCGCGUACGCUCCUUGGACUUCGGUUCAGGGAGGAAAGCGAUACCGUGGGUAUCGCGCUCUUGGAUGGGCUCAUGUCCUAUCAGCUUGUUGGUGAGGUAACGGCUCACCAAGGCUUCGACGGGUAGCUGGUCUGAGAGGACGAUCAGCCACACUGGCACUGCGACACGGGCCAGACUCCUACGGGAGGCAGCAGUAAGGAAUAUUGCGCAAUGGGCGAAAGCCUGACGCAGCGACGCCGCGUGGGGGAGUGAAGGUC
rnacentral:rRNA from 1 species